rnacentral:rRNA from 1 species
UACGUAGGUGGCAAGCGUUGUCCGGAUUUACUGGGCGUAAAGAGCGCGCAGGCGGUCUUGUAAGUCGAAUGUGAAAGCCCCUGGCUCAACCGGGGAGGGUCAUUCGAUACUGCUCGACUCGAAGGCAGGAGAGGGAAGCGGAAUUCCCAGUGUAGAGGUGAAAUUCGUAGAUAUUGGGAAGAACACCGGUGGCGAAGGCGGCUAUCUGGCCCGUAAUUGACGCUGAGGCGCGAAAGCGUGGGGAGCAAACAGG